UGGCGGCGGGCUUAACACAUGCAAGUCGAAGGAGAACCUUACUUUCGGGUGAGGGGAGACUGGCGCACGGGUGAGUAACGCGUAGGCAAUCUGCCCAUAGCAGGGGGAUAACAUCGGGAAACCGGUGCUAAUACCGCAUAAUGCAGCGGGGCCGCAUGGCCACAGUUGUUAAAGGUUUCGACCGGCUAUGGAUGAGCCUGCGUGCCAUUAGUUAGUUGGUAGGGUAAUGGCCUACCAAGGCGAUGAUGGCUAGGGGGUCUGAGAGGAUGAUCCCCCACACUGGAACUGAGACACGGUCCAGACUCCUACGGGAGGCAGCAGUGAGGAAUCUUGCGCAAUGGAGGAAACUCUGACGCAGCCACGCCGCGUGCCGGGAGACGGCCCUAUGGGUUGUAAACGGCUUUUGUUCGGGAAGAAAGUACGGGUUUUGAUCUGUAUUGACGGUACCGAUUGAAUAAGCACCGGCUAACUCCGUGCCAGCAGCCGCGGUAAUACGGAGGGUGCAAGCGUUGUCCGGAAUCAUUGGGUGUAAAGGGUGCGUAGGCUGGUGUCUAAGUCUGGGGUGAAAUUUUGCCGCUUAACGGUAACAUGGCCUUGGAUACUGGAUGCCUUGAAUCUGACAGAGGUCGGUGGAAUUCGUAGUGUAGCGGUGAAAUGCAUAGAUAUUACGAAGAACACCAGUGGCGAAGGCGGCCGGCUGGGUCAGUAUUGACGCUGAGGCACGAGAGCGUGGGGAGCGAACAGGAUUAGAUACCCUGGUAGUCCACGCUGUAAACGAUGUAUGCUAGUUGUUGGGCCUUUGGGUUCAGUGACGCAGUUAACGCAGUAAGCAUACCACCUGGGGAGUACGUUCGCAAGAAUGAAACUCAAAGGAAUUGACGGGGGCCCGCACAAGCGGUGGAGCAUGUGGUUUAAUUCG
rnacentral:rRNA from 1 species